rnacentral:rRNA from 1 species
AAAACAAACCUCCUCCUGGAAGUUGACCUCGGAUCAGGUA